rnacentral:rRNA from 1 species
UGAGGAAUAUUGGUCAAUGGGCGAGAGCCUGAACCAGCCAAGUCGCGUGCAGGAAGACGGCCCUAUGGGUUGUAAACUGCUUUUGUAAGGGGAUAAAAUGGGGUACGAGUACUCUAUUGCAGGUACCUUACGAAUAAGGAUCGGCUAACUCCGUGCCAGCAGCCGCGGUAAUACGGAGGAUCCGAGCGUUAUCCGGAUUUAUUGGGUUUAAAGGGUGCGUAGGCGGGAGAUCAAGUCAGUGGUGAAAGUUUGCAGCUUAACUGUAAAAUUGCCAUUGAAACUGAUUUUCUUGAGUACAGACGAGGUAAGCGGAAUGUGUAGUGUAGCGGUGAAAUGCAUAGAUAUUACACAGAACACCGAUAGCGAAGGCAGCUUACUGGUAUGUAACUGACGCUGAGGCACGAAAGCGUGGGGAUCGAACA